CUUCAUUGACGCACUCUGGUGACUGGCAGAAGGGCGGAGACUCCUGGCUUCUAUGGCUAUGUCCCUUUCAAAAUGCAGUUGCUGAAAUUUAAUGGCCAAUGCGACAGCAUUAAGAGCCUGGAACCUGCUUGCUCAAGGGUGGAGCUACCUGCU